UUAUUGAUAUUUUGCAUACACACUGAUUUGGAUUUUAAAACUAACCCAACGUUAAGUUCAACUAAACUAUAAAGAAAACUUUCAACAACGGAUCUCUUGGUUCUCGCAUCGAUGAAGAACGCAGCGAAAUGCGAUACGUAGUAUGACUUGCAGACGUGAAUCAUCGAAUCUUUGAACGCACAUUGCGCCUUGGGGUAUUCCCCAAGGCAUGCCUGUUUGAGCGUGAUGUCUUCUCACCAAUCUUCGCGGUGGCGUUGCAUUCACAAAAUUACAGCUUGCACGAAAAAAAUCUACGCUUUUUUUUCGUUU
rnacentral:rRNA from 1 species